UACAGAGGUCUCAAGCGUUGUUCGGAUUCAUUGGGCGUAAAGGGUGCGUAGGUGGCGUGGUAAGUCGGGUGUGAAAUUUCGGAGCUUAACUCCGAAACUGCAUUCGAUACUGCUGUGCUUGAGGACUGGAGAGGAGACUGGAAUUUACGGUGUAGCAGUGAAAUGCGUAGAGAUCGUAAGGAAGACCAGUGGCGAGGGCGGGUCUCUGGACAGUUCCUGACACUGAGGCACGAAGGCCAGGGGAGCAAACGGG
rnacentral:rRNA from 1 species